CAGAGUUCAUGCCCUUACGGGUAGAUCUCCCACCCUGUGUUAUUAUCACUUUGUUGCUUUGGCGGGCCGUCAGGCUCACGCCCGACCACCGGCCCCGGCUGGUGAGCGCCCGCCAGAGACCCCACAAACCCUGUCUUACAGUGUCGUCCGAGUACUAUAUAAUAGUUA
rnacentral:misc_RNA from 1 species